UCGUUGAAAAAGAGGAGAAGAU
rnacentral:miRNA from 1 species